rnacentral:rRNA from 1 species
GUCCAGACUCCUACGGGAGGCAGCAGUGGGGAAUAUUGCACAAUGGGGGAAACCCUGAUGCAGCGACGCCGCGUGAGUGAAGAAGUAAUUCGUUAUGUAAAGCCCUAUCAGCAGGGAAGAAGAAAUGACGGUACCUGAGUAAGAAGCACCGGCUAAAUACGUGCCAGCAGCCGCGGUAAUACGUAUGGUGCAAGCGUUAUCCGGAUUUACUGGGUGUAAAGGGAGCGCAGGCGGCACGGCAAGCCUGAUGUGAAAGCCCGCGGCCCAACCGCGGGACUGCAUUGGGAACUACCGGGCUGGAGUGCCGGAGAGGUAGGCGGAAUUCCUAGUGUAGCGGUGAAAUGCGUAGAUAUUAGGAGGAACACCAGUGGCGAAGGCGGCCUACUGGACGGUGACUGACGCUGAGGCUCGAAAGCGUGGGGAGCAAACAGGAUUAGAUACCCGUGUAUA